rnacentral:rRNA from 1 species
GAUGAACGCUGGCGGCGUGCCUAAUACAUGCAAGUCGAGCGAACAGACGAGGAGCUUGCUCCUCUGACGUUAGCGGCGGACGGGUGAGUAACACGUGGAUAACCUACCUAUAAGACUGGGAUAACUUCGGGAAACCGGAGCUAAUACCGGAUAACAUGUUGAACCGCAUGGUUCAACAGUGAAAGACGGUCUUGCUGCCACUUAUAGAUGGAUCCGCGCCGCAUUAGCUAGUUGGUAAGGUAACGGCUUACCAAGGCAACGAUGCGUAGCCGACCUGAGAGGGUGAUCGGCCACACUGGAACUGAGACACGGUCCAGACUCCUACGGGAGGCAGCAGUAGGAAAUCUUCCGCAAUGGGCGAAAGCCUGACGGAGCAACGCCGCGUGAGUGAAGAAGGUCUUCGGAUCGUAAAACUCUGUUAUUAGGGAAGAACAAAUGUGUAAGUAACUAUGCACGUCUUGACGGUACCUAAUCAGAAAGCCACGGCUAACUACGUG